rnacentral:rRNA from 1 species
CCGGGUGAGUAACGCGUGGGAAUCUGCCUUUAGAUGGGGGAUAACGGGCCGAAAGGUCCGCUAAUACCGCAUAUGCCGCAAGGUGAAAGGAGUAAUCCGUCUAAAGAUGAGCCCGCGUCCGAUUAGCUAGUUGGUAGAGUAAGAGCCUACCAAGGCGACGAUCGGUAGCUGGUCUGAGAGGAUGAUCAGCCACAAUGGGACUGAGACACGGCCCAUACUCCUACGGGAGGCAGCAGUGGGGAAUUUUACGCAAUGGGGGAAACCCUGACGUAGCGACACCGCGUGAGCGAAGAAGCCCUUUGGGGUGUAAAGCUCUGUCAGCUGGAACGAAAACAAUGACGGUACCAGCAGAGGAAGCAUCGGCUAACUACGUGCCAGCAGCCGCGGUAAGACGUAGGAUGCGAGCGUUGUCCGGAUUUAUUGGGCGUAAAGAGUUCGUAGGUGGUUUGUUAAGUUUGGUGUUAAAGAUCGGGGCUCAACCCUGGGACUGCACUGAAUACUGGCAGACUCGAGUGUGGUAGAGGCUAGUGGAAUUCCCAGUGUAGCGGUGAAAUGCGUAGA